rnacentral:rRNA from 1 species
GAUGAACGCUGGCGGCGUGCCUAACACAUGCAAGUCGAGCGAGGACUUCGGUCCUAGCGGCGGACGGGUGAGUAACGCGUGGGUAAUCUGCCCCAUACACACGGAUAACGUACCGAAAGGUACGCUAAUACGAGAUAAAGUUAAGAAAUGGCAUCAUUUCUUAAUCAAAGAAUUUCGGUAUGAGAUGAGCCCGCGUCCCAUUAGCUAGUUGGUAAGGUAAAAGCUUACCAAGGCGACGAUGGGUAGCCGACCUGAGAGGGUGAUCGGCCACACUGGAACUGAGACACGGUCCAGACUCCUACGGGAGGCAGCAGUGGGGAAUAUUGCACAAUGGGCGAAAGCCUGAUGCAGCAACGCCGCGUGAGCGAUGAAGGUCUUCGGAUCGUAAAGCUCUGUCCUCAAGGAAGAAUUUUGACGGUACUUGAGGAGGAAGCCCCGGCUAACUACGUGCCAGCCGCCGCAGUAA